GGAGGKUKCAAGCGUUAUCCGGAUUUACUGGGUUUAAAGGGUGCGUAGGUGGGUAGGAAAGUCAGUGGUGAAAUCUUCGGGCUUAACCCGGAAACUGCCAUUGAUACUAUUUAUCUUGAAUACUUUGGAGGUAAGCGGAAUAUGUCAUGUAGCGGUGAAAUGCUUAGAUAUGACAUAGAACACCAAUUGCGAAGGCAGCUUACUACACAGUUAUUGACACUGAGGCACGAAAGCGUGGGGAUCAAACAGGAUUAGAUACCCUGGUAGUCCACGCCCUAAACGAUGGAUACUCGACAUCAGCGAUACACUGUUGGUGUCUGAGCGAAAGCAUUAAGUAUCCCACCUGGGAAGUACGAUCGCAAGAUUG
rnacentral:rRNA from 1 species